CCUACGGGUGGCUGCAGUAGGGAAUAUUGCACAAUGGAGGAAACUCUGAUGCAGCCAUGCCGCGUGUGUGAAGAAGGCCUUCGGGUUGUAAAGCACUUUCGGAGGGGAGGAAAAAAAUGACGUUACCCUCAGAAGAAGCACCGGCUAACUCCGUGCCAGCAGCCGCGGUAAUACGGAGGGUGCAAGCGUUAAUCGGAAUAACUGGGCGUAAAGGGCAUGCAGGCGGUUCAUCAAGUAGGAUGUGAAAUCCCCGGGCUCAACCUGGGAACAGCAUACUAAACUGGUGGACUAGAGUAUUGCAGGGGGAGACGGAAUUCCAGGUGUAGCGGUGGAAUGCGUAGAUAUCUGGAAGAACACCAAAGGCGAAGGCAGUCUCCUGGGCAAAUACUGACGCUCAUAUGCGAAAGCGUGGGUAGCAAACAGGAUUAGAUACCCCGGUAGUC
rnacentral:rRNA from 1 species